AUUGAACGCUGGCGGCAGGCCUAACACAUGCAAGUCGAACGAGUGGCGGACGGGUGAGUAAUGUCUGGGAAUCUGCCCGAUGGAGGGGGAUAACUACUGGAAACGGUGGCUAAUACCGCAUACCAUCAGAUGUGCCCAUAUGGGAUUAGCUUGUUGGUGGGGUAACGGCUCACCAGGGCGACGAUCCCUAGCUGGUCUGAGAGGAUGACCAGCCACACUGGAACUGAGACACGGUCCAGACUCCUACGUGAGGCAGCAGUGGGGAAUAUUGCACAAUGGGCGCAAGCCUGAUGCAGCCAUGCCGCGUGUAUGAAGAAGGCCUUCGGGUUGUAAAGUACUUUCAGCGGGGAGGCGUUACCCGCAGAAGAAGCACCGGCUAACUCCGUGCCAGCAGCCGCGGUAAUUC
rnacentral:rRNA from 1 species